UAAAAUAAUUCCAUCCGGCCCAACUGAUCUCUCCCUCUUUGAUUUAUUUUGGCCCACUGAUCAAUUAUUCCAGCCCAAAGAUAAUUAAUUUGGCCCCAACAUCUUAAUUAAGCAAUUUCAGCCCAACACUUUCCUUAAUUCACUUCUAGGCCAAAAUUCCCAACUUAAUUAAUUUAAUGGCCCAAAUAAUUAUAGUAGCCCAUCUCCAACUAAAGUGGCCCAAAUCCUUAAAUAUUUAGGAGUGGCCCAAUCAAAAUAAAUCAGCCCCCAACAUUCUUCUUCCUCCAUCGACACUUCUCAAUUUUUCUCCUCCAAAUUCACUUUCAUUCCCAAAAUCAAUUUCACUCAUUUUCCCCCAAAUCUCUCAAUUAGGUAUAACCCUUCUUCUUCUCUCGGAUAUGGCGAUCAAUCGCCGUCCUCUUCCUAUCACCGGUUCUCGCCUUCCUCCGGCGAAUCCUCUCAUCUCGGCAACUCCUCCAGAAUCGGCACUCGCCUCCGAUCCCCCUCUACUGCUCUCUUACCGACCGGUCGUCGGCUAUGCAGCGGUGUGUGCGACGGUCACGCCGUUUUUUGCUCUCUCUCUCUCUCUCUCUCUCCGUCGAGUUCUCCAAUCACUACUCCAUGGAGCGGUCACGGCGCUGCCCCGUCUGUCGGGUUCGGGCAAGUGCAGCCCCUUCUCGGCCUCUUCCCCUGCCGCUGCAGCUACCGCCUCACUGCUCGUUGCUGCCAGUUGCACAGGCGGACAGCCGCUGCUGGAGCUGUUCAGCCGGGAAGUCCCCGGGGCGGCCCUCGCCAUCGCCGGUGGUCUCCAAGGCAGCUCCUCGGCCUUAAAGCUAAGUUCUUUAAUUCUCAUUGCUUAGACUACUUUGUUGAGUCCUUGGGGCAGUUAGUGUGAGGUGUGACUAUUUGGUGUUGGGAGAGGCUUACUGUUUGGUUUUAAACUCUUGAAAGUUCACUAGGAUGCACUCACUUUCUUGUCUAAGUUAUCAAGCUUGGUUUGAUUAAGAUCUCUCUCUAUUAGAUACUUAAUCCAUACUUGCUACAGCCAUGAGACUUCUAUAGCUAUGAUUCUAUGUUCUUGAGCCAAGUAUGAUGUCCGAAAUAAUGCAGAGACGGUGCUAGUGUAUUACCUCUUUCUCAACGACUCCUUCGAACGCCGGACUGCCCUUAAGCUCGCCGCCACUCCUUCCUCUCUUGCUGCACUUCUUGUGAUUUGUGAAUUUAGAGAGAGGUGUGAGGAAGGAGGUGGUGAUGGGCUGGUAUUUAUAGCCAAAACUUCUUGGCAUUUUGUGUCUAAUUUGGGUUAAAGAUUCCCUCUUCUUUUUGGUUUUGGGUUUAAAGCUUCACUACUAAAUUGGUGUAAUCCUUGGAAAGUGAUAUGCUAUUUCGGGGCUGCUCCUCAGCUCCCUUUCGAGCUUGGUGACACUGCUAUUCUUACUAAUUUGAUGAAUGUUGGGGCUGUCCUCCUUGGCAUCUUGUGCCUGCAAUCUUGGGGGCAAAGGCUCCUAUUUUUGGCCGCCAGCUUGCUCUCUUUUUGAGCCUUGUGAUGUUGUUGUCUACUUCAAAAUGGUGUACAGCUGGCCAUCUCCUUGGAGCUUUGUGGGUGUUUUAAAAUCGAGAAGGGAAAGAGAAGAUGACUCAUGCUCAAGCUUUCCUUGAUUCCAUUACCAUUUAUAGCUAGAGUCAAACUUGUAGACUUUGUCCUUUAGAAUAGCUAAGAUAUAGCUAUUCAUUUCUGGUGUAUAAUAAGGUGUAGAGCAUUCUAUUUGAUCAAUUGGCAUUUCCUCUUUCCAACAA